rnacentral:rRNA from 1 species
GAUGAACGCUGGCGGUAUGCUUAACACAUGCAAGUCGAACGGACUCUUCGGAGUUAGUGGCGGACGGGUGAGUAACGCGUGGGAAUCUGGCUUUGGGUUCGGGACAACCACUGGAAACGGUGGCUAAUGCCGGAUGUGCCGCGAGGUAACAGAGAACGUGCCUGAAGAUGAGCCCGCGGCUGAUUAGCGAGUUGGGGAGGGAAAGGCCCACCAAGGCAGCGAUCAGUAGCUGGGCUGAGAGGAUGACCAGCCACACCGGGACAGAGACACGGCACAGACGCCUACGGGAGGAAGCAGGGGGGAAUGAUCCGGCAAGGGCGAAAGCCUGACGGAGGAAUUCCGCUUGAGGAAAGAAGGCGUUUGGGAUGUAAACCUCUUGGCUUAGGGAAGAACAAAAUGACGGUACCUAAGGAAUCAGCAUCGGCUAACUCCGUG